CACAGCGCCACCUGGCCGCUCCUCCAUGUAGGAGCUGGAGGGGGGGACAUGCCACUGCUUGUGGGAGCUGCCUGAGCUUCAUCAGCUUGCAGUAUAAAUUGUUGAGGAAGGUUGGAUUGCAACAGCAGCAAGUUCCUGUACAAUCGCUGCAGGUAAUAUCUGUGCAGUUCAGACAAGAUGGAAACAAAAUUAAUAAAAAUGUAAGUGCUGGAUAUGAGUCUGAAGCAAAAUGUGUGAUUAAAAAUAUAUUGAUUGGCAACAUGGAAAGACAUUAAUGGAUGUUUUAAGCCUAUCGGACACUGGUGGGAUUUAUGUACUAUAACUCAGAGAUUUGGGAAAAAUCAGACUGACUUAACUUUUAUCAUUUGUAACAAAUAACAUUUUGAAUGUGAUCAAAGAGAAAAACAGACGUCAGGGUAGCCACUGGUUGUAUACACUGUCUGCAAGGGAUUAAAAAUGCUUCCUCCAAAACGCGUCUCAAAUAUGAGCAAUGAAGUGUGUUGAAUAUAGAAUCAGAAAUUAAGCAGAUGAACCCAUAGUUUAAUAUUCUACAUUUUUAUAAAAAUUUGUAAUCACUCUGCUGAACUUGUGCU